CCCAGACUCCUACGGGAGGCAGCAGUGGGGAAUAUUGCACAAUGGGGGGAACCCUGAUGCAGCGACGCCGCGUGGGUGAGGAAGUACUUCGGUAUGUAAGGCCCUCUCAGCAGGGAAGAAAAUGACGGUACCUGACUAAGAAGCCCCGGCUAACUACGUGCCAGCAGCCGCGGUAAUACGUAGGGGGCAAGCGUUAUCCGGAUUUACUGGGUGUAAAGGGAGCGUAGACGGCGUGCCAAGUCAGCGGUAAAAUCGCGGGGCUCAACCUCGCUCCGCCGUUGAAACUGGCGUUCUUGAGUGGGCGAGAAGUAUGCGGAAUGCGUGGUGUAGCGGUGAAAUGCAUAGAUAUCACGCAGAACUCCGAUUGCGAAGGCAGCAUACCGGCGCCCAACUGACGCUGAAGCACGAAAGCGUGGGUAUCGAACAGGAUUAGAUACCCGGGUA
rnacentral:rRNA from 1 species